UUUUUAAUGGUCCUGUCCGAUUCUCUGCUUUAAGCCUGUAUCUAGACAGAAGCCUUGAAUGUGUUUGAGUACAGAUAAGCUGCACAACAGGCUGAGGAGUGAAGGCAUCUUCUCUUUCAUGAAAUAAACAGGUGAGAAUCUCGACACCAGGGCCUCAGUGCCUUCGCUUGCAGAGCUCAGCUCCUCUGAAUUCCCGCUGAGAUCCAAGACCUUCAGAGCGGGAUGUGUGGUCAACAGUUAUAGGUCAGGAGACUCAGAUUGUCCUUGUGUGGUGAAAACAAAGGAUUUAGUGCUUGUAACCUUUCACAGCUUCAGGUAGAAACCUGAGUCUACCUUGUAUGGCAGAUUGUUAGAUGUACACUAAAAGUCUCCUUGCAAGUCUUAUUGUGGGAUCUGAAGAUGAAAACCAUUCUCAAGCAUAAUGGGGUUAUGUAGAUUAGCUCAUUUUGUAAUAAUUAUGGAAGUUAGUUGUUCCAACUGGUAACGUUUAGAACUCAUCUGAAGGCUGUUUGAUAAUCAAACACGGUGAUAAUUUGUUGGAGAUUAAGGGAAGGAGGAGGCACACCAAAAACACCCCAUCAUUACAGCACAUCUGGUCUCCGUUCUCUUCAAAAACCAUGUCACAGCUGACUCAGGCCCUCAAAUCUGGAAGAAAGUGCAGGGGAAUUUCCACUAAUGAAUCCAACAACCACACGAUGAGGCCUCUUUGUGCAGGGACUUCAAUGGAAGCCACAUUCAGAGCAGGCACAGCGAGUCACAAUCAAAGGCACCGCCAAUCCGUUACCACGGGAGCAAAUCUGCAGCUUGUAACUGAACAGACAUCUGUUUCCAUGACAGCUGUCUGGAACGGCAUCAGCCUAACUAACUGCUGCCUCAGAACUAGUCUGACUGUUUGAUAUCUCUUGUGAUAAAGACAGAGACGAUUCUGUCAGAAACCCUCGUCACUUGUUGUUGUGAUGCGCUAAUGCGAAAAGAGAAGUUUGCAUUUGUGUUUAUUUUGUUGGUCUUUGAAGCUGCCGCAAUCAGAGGCUGCAAAAUAUUGGAAGGGAGAAGAAACGUACCCGAGAGAAGUAAACAUACGGAGCGAACUACCCCGGUGUGUUCGACGGAAGCCGCUUCAGAGCGACAAAAGGGAAGUACAAGUUAAACAACAACAUUUCUGACAUAAUGUUUAUUACAGCAAAAUUCAUUUCCACCCUCCCCUCCUUUUCUUAAACAAUCAAACAUCUGUUUUCACAGUGAGAAACUUACAGUGAAGUGAAUGGGGCCAUGUUGAGUCAGUGUAAUUUUUCAUUACAAUGUCAUAAGUGAAUAAUCUUAAAGUAAAAUGGCAGAUUUCUUUCUUGUGACCAGGGGCGUCGGACUGGGGGUAAAACCAGUACUGCUUGUGACACUAGACUUUACCAACUAUUUUGCCUAAUAUGUAAAAUUAAGUCCCGUCCCAUUUUUUUUUUUUCUUUUCAAUAAUCUAUUUCACUUGGCUAUACAUCACAAUAUGUUUUAAAUGAUCUGUCGCUACUUCCGUUACAAAAUAAAUAAAAAAAUUGGUUCCAUUUGCUUCCAUUUCAACUGCCACAAAUGCUAUACUAAUAAAACUUAACUUCACUAAACUUAAAAUAUUCCUUUUAUUAUGCCAAUAUCUCUGUAGUUCUACAUUGUUUAGACGCCUGCCUGGUGGUCUGCUGUUUGAAAGGGCAAGGCCUGCCCGCAGAGAGGGGCUUGACAAGCAGAGCGCAGUGUUAUCCAACGCGAGCUCUUCUUUGCUGCAGGCGGCUCCGUCCCAAACCUCAGCCCUAUCUUGAGUGAACAUCACACAGCCGAGAUGAAAAAGCGGGAAAUCGAUGCAGGGGAGCGCGCGCCAUGUAGAGAGCCUGGCUUUGCUUUGAUCGAAGGCUGACUGACAAGACCUUCAGCCCUGUGAUCUCCGGCAUGAUGAAGGACCGGAGCCGUGGUGGCGCAACAACGUGUGUUUGUUGUAUUUUGUGCGUUGUAGGUUUUGUGUAUUUGUGUACAUGUUUUUGAAAAAAAAAUAUUAGCUUCAAAACCUAGCGAGCCGCCUACGGAGCCGGCAUUUUAAAACUUCAUAGGCGCUCUUCUGACACAAAGUCUUUCUCAAAGGGUCGUCGCAAUUAUGCUGCCGCCUAAGAUACCUUCUUAAGGCCACAUUUUAAAGCGGAAUCACUAUGCUUUGCAUAAAAGACAAAAAAUUAUAAAUAAUAUACAUAAAUAAAAACUGGUUGUUAGUGUUAAAGGAAUAGUCCACCCAAAAAUUCUGUCAUCAUUUACUCAGUUUAAUUGUUUUGGUUCCCAUUGACUUCCAUUGUAUGGGCAAAAAUACUGUAGAAGUCAAUGGGAACCAAAACUGUUUGGUUACGAGCUUUUGUUGUUUUUUUUUUUGUUUUAUAAUAUCUUCUUUUGCGCUGAGCAGAAGAAUGAAAUGCAUACAGGUUUUGAACAACAUGAGGUUGAGUAAAUGACAGAUUUGAUCACUUUAACUAAAAAACUAUUAAAAUGAUUAAAAAUGUAAAUAAAGCUAAAAUAAAAUAUAAAUAUUAGGUGAAAAACAAACUUUAAAAAACAAAAAUUUGAAAUUAUGCCUUGGCUACUAACUGAAAUUAAAUAAGUUGAAGUUGAAGUAAAUUUAAUACAACUAAAAUUGAAAAUAUAAAUAAAUGAAAGCUAAAUUGGAAUUUAAAUAAAAAACUAGAUUUCUAAAACAAACAAGUUAAAAUGCGAACUGAAAAUAUAAAAUAAAAGCUAAUUUAAAAUACUAAUAUUUAUAUACUGUAAUAGUAUAUAAAUAAUACUAAAAAACAUGAAAAUUAAUCCAAAACUGGUGUAUGAGCUGAAAGAUAUUUUGAUUAUAAAUUAGCUUAUAGUUAAAUGAAAUUAAAAAAAAAUAUGCCUAUUAGCAAUUUACACUGCUUAGCAACAUGCUAAUGUCAAACUUUUGAAAUCAAUCGGCGGUUCUCCAGUUCAGAGUGCUGUUUGUGUUGCUUCUCUGCUGGGGAGUAGAUAUUGAGGCAGCUAGUCAGGUUUUGGAAUGCUUUAUUGUUUAGCCUGCAUAACAAAAAAUGUGUACACAAACACACAACUGGCACAGCCAGGCGGGUCAGGACAAGCCUGUACUCUCUCCUCUUGCCUUCCCUUUUCAGACAAGUACAGAGGGGGUGUGAGACAGAGGGCUCUGUCUGCAUCUAAAGCCUGCUGGGAAAGGCUGUACUCUCAUCUCCCACACAGCAGAAUGCAUAUGCACCAAAAUCCUCUUCACUUUAAAACAACCUUCCCCUUCAGCCUCCUCUGGUACUCCCGACGGGUCAUCACAUGAAGCGUGUCCUCUGGUCUACCUUUGCUGGGGAUGGUGACCUUCACAGAGGCUUGAGAGAUGCCUCGGACCAGAGCAUUGUGGGUACUCUAAGACUGAGUGACAUACACAGCAUGGAAGCACUGGCGAGGAGCUUUGCUGAACCUUGUGAUCCAUGUCACUGCCUCAAUGGGACACACACACCCGAUAUAAAUCCACUGACAUUACAGCGGAUUGAUGUUUAUAUACAAGAGUUUUCAGCUGAAAAGCUGCAUUACCACUGAAAGAGUGACCAUAAUGCAUUGUGGUUCAGAAGAUUCAUGUCUCUCUCUUCUGUGAUUUUUUACCUUCUGCCAAGCUUAAAGAAUGAAAUGAGAGAUUGUAGAUUACUGUAGAUGUCAGAUUUUGCUCCAGCACGCUAAAUUAACAGCUAAAGUAAACACUGUAAAGCUGAAUUGUGUAAUUUCUGUGCCAUUACUGGCAACAAAUAGAAUGGAAAAAGAUUACUCAUAAACACAUGUAUUUUUAAUUAUAUAAUGAUAUGUUUUUAUAAUUUUUUUAUUACACUACUGCUCUACAAUGGUGGGGUCAGUAAAAUUUUUUUGUGUCUCAUGCUCACCAAGGCUGCAUUUAUUUGAUCAAAAAUACAGUAAAAAUAGUAAUAUUGUGAUAUAAUAAAUAUAUGAUUACAAUUUAAAAUAACUCAAUUCUGUUUUCAUACAUUUUGAAAGGUCAUU
ensembl:lncRNA